ACCUACGGGGGCAGCAGUGGGGAAUAUUGCACAAUGGGGGAAACCCUGAUGCAGCGACGCCGCGUGAGUGAGGAAGUAUUUCGGUAUGUAAAGCUCUAUCAGCAGGGAAGAAAAUGACGGUACCUGACUAAGAAGCCCCGGCUAACUACGUGCCAGCAGCCGCGGUAAUACGUAGAGGGCAAGCGUUAUCCGGAUUUACUGGGUGUAAAGGGAGCGUAGACGGCAGCGCAAGUCUGGAGUGAAAUGCCGGGGCCCAACCCCGGAACUGCUUUGGAAACUGUGCAGCUCGAGU
rnacentral:rRNA from 1 species